rnacentral:misc_RNA from 1 species
GGCGUGUGAGGGGUGUUUGGUUUGUCGGGAUGGUAGGCUCCUUGCUGGUGCAUCGAACUACCGGCCCGCAAUCCACUUCGUGGCCUCGAGCGCGACCAGUUCUCGCUCGUGGGGUUGUGGUGUUCCUGUAUUUGAUACCCACGAUGGCGGAAAUCUAUUGAUAGCGGUGCGAUUCUCCGCCCUGUGCCUCCCUCGAGGGGGCGCUGGCGGACCAUGCAGCUUGGCCCCUCUUUCCUGGCACGCUUGUUAGGCUGCCUCGGACAGUAUGGGUCCAACGCUCGUGCUCUCGGAUGCGGAAAAUUGUGGGGGCGGAGGGUGCUCACCCUCCUAUGAGCCCGACCCGAGAACGUCCCUCGAUGUGCACGACAACCUUCGCGCGCCGCGUUUUUCUCUUGCACCCACGGUGCGAGGGCGAAGCGCGCGGGCGUCGGUGUCGCGGAAGGAACGCUACCUGGUUGAUCCUGCCAGUAGUCAUAUGCUUGUCUCAAAGAUUAAGCCAUGCAUGUGA